AAUGCAUUAAGAGAUGAGAUGUGGUACACUUAUCAAAAGUCUAAACUCAACAACUAUCCUAAUAGUUGUCAUGAAAGCAUUGAUAACCGAGGUGGUGCCUCGGGUUUUCCCAAAAAAAUAAAAGAAAAAAGGAAAUUGAAAGGCCUCUGAUAAAGUCUUAAGCAAGCAAAACCUAAAAGAAAAAACUGAAGAAACCUAAAACCUAUUAUCUUCCAAAAAACACAUUUCCUCCUCUUUGCAUCUAUAGUCGUUUUAAUGGAGUAUACUGGUUGUGUCUUUCCAUCACUGUAAAUAAACCCAUUGAAGCGCUAUACCAGAUUUCUCCUAAAUCUGAGUUCAUCAGAGAGUAGUAAGGACAUUUCUCUUUUGCAGUGCAUUCUCGGACUCAGACAGAAAUGACCCUUUUUCUACCGAUUCAAAAGUCUUUUUUGGUCAUUGACGAUGGUGGGUUCAACCUCCGUCGGUACUUCUUCGAUCCAAUAGGACGGGCUAGUCAAAUUUUACCCUCGAGUUGCAAGGGCGUGUGCCACUUCAUUUGUCUUUCGAGAAGUAUACUCAAAAGAGCAUCACCUUCUACAACCAAAUCUCGAAAACCCAUUUUUUCCCCAAAUAUGAUGGCUUGAAGACACGCCUUCGCUUCUGCAGUGGUCGGAUUCCCUGUUCUUCCUAGAGGGUAAGUACAUGCUCCCAUUGUAAAACCUUCAUGAUUUCUUAUAAUGAUUCUCGUUGUUGCUGUCAUGACUUGUUGUGGAAAAGCUGCAUCAAAAUUGGCUUUAACUUGUUCUGCCUUAGAGGGUCUCCAAAAUUCCUCUCUUGGAUUAAUUCUGGUUUCUGUUAAAGAGUUAACUUGUUCUAAUUCGCGUAAAUAAGCUCUAAUAAAAUCCACAACCUUUUGUACCCUUCCCUUUUUUCCUUCGUGGUAAAGUCUAUUUCUGUUAUACCAAACUGCCCAAAUAGAAAUUACCAUGGUUGCACAUACUUUAAUAUUUUACAUGUAGAAGAAAGAGGCUAACCAUUGUUUCCAUGUGUGGUUUGCGUUUAUGUGCGAGAUGUCCAACCCAACUUCCUGCAGGAUCUGUUUUAUGAAUUCGCAAUCUCGAAAAAGAUGUUCCAUAGUUUCUUCUCCAACUAAGCAGACUAGACAUGCAACAUCGUUCCUGAGUCUUCGAAGUAUAAGGAUACUGAGCGUCGGAAGAAAAUUGUUAGCAACUCUCCACAGAUGUAUUUUUAUUUUACUUGGGAUCAGGAGAUUCCAAAUCUUUGUAAAAUAAACUUUUUUGAUGAUUUGGUAUGUAACAUAAUCCUGUAGUUGUA